GCGCGUACCACUUUGUGAUUCAUGACUGGGGUGAAGUCGUAACAAGGUAACCGUAGGGGAACCUGCGGUUGGAUCACCUCCUUACCUUAAAGAA
rnacentral:rRNA from 1 species